rnacentral:rRNA from 1 species
UACGUAGGGUGCAAGCGUUGUCCGGAAUUAUUGGGCGUAAAGAGCUUGUAGGCGGUUUGUCGCGUCUGCUGUGAAAUUUCGGGGCUCAACCCCGAACUUGCAGUGGGUACGGGCAGGCUAGAGUGUGGUAGGGGAGACUGGAAUUCCACGUGUAGCGGUGAAAUGCGUAGAUAUGUGGAGGAAUACCGAUGGCGAAGGCAGCCUCCUGGGCCAACACUGACGCUCAUGCACGAAAGCGUGGGGAGCAAACAGG